AGUGAACGCUGGCGGUAGGCCUAACACAUGCCAGUCGAACGGCAGCACAGUAAGAGCUUGCUCUUACGGGUGGCGAGUGGCGGACGGGUGAGGAAUACAUCGGAAUCUACUUUUUCGUGGGGGAUAACGUAGGGAAACUUACGCUAAUACCGCAUACGACCUACGGGUGAAAGCAGGGGAUCUUCGGACCUUGCGCGAUUGAAUGAGCCGAUGUCGGAUUAGCUAGUUGGCGGGGUAAAGGCCCACCAAGGCGACGAUCCGUAGCUGGUCUGAGAGGAUGAUCAGCGACACUGGAACUGAGACACGGUCCAGACUCCUACGGGAGGCAGCAGUGGGGAAUAUUGGACAAUGGGCGCAAGCCUGAUCCAGCCAUACCGCGUGGGUGAAGAAGGCCUUCGGGUUGUAAAGCCCUUUUGUUGGGAAAGAAAAGCAGCAGGUUAAUACCCCGCUGUUCUGACGGUACCCAAAGAAUAAGCACCGGCUAACUUCGUG
rnacentral:rRNA from 1 species